rnacentral:rRNA from 1 species
GACGAACGCUGGCGGCGUGCUUAACACAUGCAAGUCGAACGGAAAGGCCCUGCUUUUGUGGGGUGCUCGAGUGGCGAACGGGUGAGUAACACGUGAGUAACCUGCCCUUGACUUUGGGAUAACUUCAGGAAACUGGGGCUAAUACCGGAUAGGAGCUCCUGCUGCAUGGUGGGGGUUGGAAAGUUUCGGCGGGUGGGGAUGGACUCGCGGCUUAUCAGCUUGUUGGUGGGGGAGUGGCUUACCAAGGCUUUGACGGGUAGCCGGCCUGAGAGGGUGACCGGCGACGAUGGGACUGAGAUACGGACCAGACUCCUACGGGAGGCAGUAGUGGGGAACCUUGCACAACGGGCCGAAGCCUGAUGAAGAAACGCUGCGUGUGGGAUGACGGUCUUUGGGGUGUAAAACGCUUUAGCCUGUGACGCAGCGUGAGUGACGGUAAUGGGUAAAGAAGCACCGGCUAACUACGUG